AAAUUGAAGAGUUUGAUCAUGGCUCAGAUUGAACGCUGGCGGCAGGCCUAACACAUGCAAGUCGAACGGUAACAGGAAGCAGCUUGCUGCUUCGCUGACGAGUGGCGGACGGGUGAGUAAUGUCUGGGAAACUGCCUGAUGGAGGGGGAUAACUACUGGAAACGGUGGCUAAUACCGCAUAACGUCGCAAGACCAAAGAGGGGGACCUUCGGGCCUCUUGCCAUCAGAUGUGGGGGACCUUCGGGCCUCUUGCCAUCAGAUGUG
rnacentral:rRNA from 1 species